UGAAAGUUUGACUCGGUCUUUUCCUUCCAACAGUUAUAAAUCUGUGAAAUGAAAGUCUUUGUUUCCUUAAAGGGAUUUCAAGAAUUUAACAAAAGGGUUGGGGAAUGGAACCUUUGCUGUCACUAUGCCUGUCUCUCAAUUCUACCCUAAAGGUAAACUAAAUGGAAUCCUUUUAUGGUGACUAGGAUUAGGAUGUUGAUUCCAAAGCCUUUCCCUAAAAUCUAUUCCUUGCUCCCUGGAAAGGAUAAUACAGGUUCUGGCCCCCACUGUAGGUACUGACAGCCCAAGGCAGAAUAGGUUUUGCUAGGCUUUAGCCUUUUAUUCUUUGACAUAGGUCAGUCCUGCAGGCUUCUUUUUUCUAAGUCUCCUGCCUAUCCAAAACCAGACCUUUUCUCCCACCUCCUUCUGCUUCAAGCCUCUUAAUAAUCCAUAUUUCUAUUUUCUAGCAAUAGUAAUAGUUUAUUAUUUAGUGAUGUAUACUUGCACCCCAUUUACUCCUUUUCAAUAUUUCAGGAUACAUCUUUGUCCUGUAUUUCUGUACCAGUUCACAGAAUUUCUACAGCAAGAUCCCUUUAAAUGUAUGGCUUUCCUUCAUAGGUUGCAAGGAUUACUUUAUACAAGUGCUACUGUAACUAUAUCUUUUGUGGAGUACAAUUGGUAUGACAUGCUGUGUUCAUAGAUGAAAAUGCUAAGUGAGGCACUCUGAAGCAAGUUAAAGUUCACAGACAUUCUUGCUUGCCCACCACCCCCCCGAACCCCGCCAUGGAAUCAUCAAAUAAGAAAAAUAAGACAGAUUUUCAGAUUGGUGAUGGCAAAGUAAGACGCUGGUAUUUUGCACUGGCGCAGUCCAUUUAGUUGUUGAAUUUGUUCAGCAUACCUGGAUGGUGAGUGAGUUAGCUUUAUUUUUCAUUCUCAGCAGGGAAACUGAUAGACUAGGCAGUUUGGGGAAUUUUCCCAUUGUCUACUGUCAUGGGUCCAUAGUAUUUAAGUUUACAGACUACAACAUUGUCCACAGAAGCCAUAUUUAUCCCCUUGGAGGGAAGGGAAAGGUGUGCUAACUUAGAUCAUAAAAACAACUGAAUUUUAAAACAAGGCAAAUGCCACAGUUCAACUUCUCCAUAAAAAAGUUAAGUUCAUCUCUCCAUUCUUUUGCAUGCCUACAAUAUUUCCAUAUAACAACUGUAAAAUACUCUUGCCUGCUGCAAUCCAAAUGUUAUCCGGAUCACAGUUCUUGCUGUCAUUUCACAGGCAUGCAAUGUAUCUAUAGAUAGGUCAUAUCAUACCUGAGGAAGAUCAGAGACAGCAAGGGAACAUUUUCCCCACACUUGAGAUGGAAAUAAUAACAGGUCAGUGGCUAAUAAAAAGAAACAUGUAUGACUUUGUAAAACCCUAAAAGUGAUGUUUUCAAGAAAUUUAGGUUUCUUUUUUUUAUUUUAUAAAAAAAAUGUUGACAUGCAAUUUAAUUCUAUUUCAAUUUAGGUGCUGCAACCUGUACUGGAUGUUUGGGGAUAGAAAGAUGAAUGGGACAUGAUUUGUGUGCUCCAAUGAGCUCAGUCCAGUGUAAGUGUAAAAGUUAAAGUGCCAUAUUGUUUAUUCAGAGUAUAUGUUAUAGUUUGUGAACCUUAUAUCAUUUGUUAAAUGAAAGGUUUUUAUAAAUCAACAGUAAUAUUGCCAUCCCAUGUAAAAAUCCUUUGAUAUUGCCAGGAAACAACUUUAAAUCACCAGAAAGCUUUAACAUCAAAUAAUACUUUUAGAAGGAGGGGAAAAGCCUUCCACCUCGACAUCGAGCCUAUGAAGUAUUCCCUAAAAAAGAGGAACUAAUCUGAGAAAAGUUUACACAUUUUUAAUACUCUAAGUUGUAGAUAAUGAAAUUGAUUUAAAUCAAAGUUAACUAGAAUAGGAUUCAUGUGUCAUGAAUUAUAUUGUCUAUUGUCUCAUAAGCAACAAGUGACACUUAUUAUCUUGGCUGACAAAAUCAGCUACCAUUUAAUGAACCAAGUUAAGAAUAACUCAGGUGACUGAUACCAAAAAUAAAUCUCUAAUACAGCUGAGAAUCCAGAAACACAAAUAAUAUGUUGAGUAAGUAAUAAAAGUGACAUUUCAAAUUAGUAAGGAAAAAAUGGAUUAUUCAACAAAUAGUAUGGGAUAGCAUAACAAUUUAGAAGAAAUAUAAAGUUAGAUCUUUCACAAAAAUUAAUUCUAGCUAGACUAGCAGUUAGUCUUCUACUUUUUGGUUACUCCCUUUUAGAAAUUGGAAGCUAUGAAGCUAUAUACCCUGUCCAUUUGAAAAUGCACAUAAGCAAAGAACUUUACAAAUAGGUUAUAAAGAGAAGCUCAAUCUCAGCAAAAUAAGGGAAGUGCACAUUAAAACACAAGAAACCAUCUCAGAUCCAACUAAUAUUUAGCGUGCAUACAAAUCAAAAGCUGGAAAGGGUGUGGAAAAACAGGAAUACAUUGCUAGUGAGCAUACAAAUUGGCACAGCCUCUUUUAAAGACAAUUGUGUAUCACCCAUUAAAUUUUAAAAGUCACAUACCCUGUGACCUAACAAUUCCAACUUUUAAUGUCCUAAAGAAACAUACAUGUGUUCACAAGAUAGCCUGUACAAUGAUGUCAAUUGCACCUUUGCUUGUACAGUAGACCCCCUUAUCUGCAUUUUCACUUUUUGAGGUUUCAGUCAUCCAAGGUCAACCACAAUACAAAAAUAUUAAAUGGAAAAUUCCAGAAACGAACAUAAGUUUUAAACUUCAAACCUUUCUGCAUAGUAUAAUAAAAAUCUCUCACUAUCCCUCUCCAUCCUGCCUGGGACAGGAAUCAUCCCUUUGUCCAGUGUAUCCACAAUGUAUACACUCAUUAUAUACCCAUUUUAUAAUGCCCAUUAGUCAUUUCUAUUAUCAGAUCAUAAAAAAACAUAGUACAUAGAGGGUUUGGUAUUAUUCAUGGUUUCAGGCAUUCAGUGAGGGUCUUGGAAAAUAUCCUCCAUGAUGGGGGAGCUACUGUAAUACUAUGAAAUUGGAAAAACCAAAAUACUCAUCAAGAGGAUGGACUAUGGUACACAUGAUGAAGUAUUAAGUAUCAAUGAAAAAGAGAGAGUCCUACAUGUCCGGCAUGGAAGGAUCUCCAGGAGACAAUGUUAAAAGUUUGGGGGAAAAAUUGAAAGACAAUACCUGUAAUACAUAUGAUACUAGUGAUGUUAAAUCACAUCACACACACACACACACACACACACACAC
rnacentral:lncRNA from 10 species